GACGAACGCUGGCGGCGUGCCUAAUACAUGCAAGUCGAACGCAGUGGGGACGGGUGAGUAACACGUGGGUAACCUCCCAUCAGAGGGGAUAACACUUGGAAACAGGUGCUAAACCGAUACUGAUGGAUGGACCCGCGGUGCAUUAGCUAGUUGGUGGGGUAACGGCUCACCAAGGCCACGAUCCAUAGCCGACCUGGGGGUGGGAUAGGGCAGACGGGGACGUAGACACGGCCCAGACUCCUACGGGAGGCAGCAGUAGGGAAUCGUCGGCAAUGGACGAAAUUCUGACCGAGCAACGCCGCGUGAGUGAAAAAGGUUUUCGGAUCGUAAAACUCUGUUGUUAGAGAAGCGGUAUCUAACCAGAAAGCCACGGCUAACUCCGUGCCAGCCGCCGCGGUAAUAC
rnacentral:rRNA from 1 species